ACUGGCUGACGAGUCCCAAAUAGGACAAAAUGCGCAUCCUGGAU
rnacentral:hammerhead_ribozyme from 1 species